rnacentral:rRNA from 1 species
UACGGAGGGGGCUAGCGUUGUUCGGAAUUACUGGGCGUAAAGCGCACGUAGGCGGCUUUGCAAGUUAGAGGGUGAAAGCCCGGGGCUCAACUCCGGAAUUGCCUUUAAAACUGCAUCGCUAGAAUUGUGGAGAGGUAAGUGGAAUUCCGAGUGUAGAGGUGAAAUUCGAUAGAUAUUCGGAAGAACACCAGUGGCGAAGGCGACUUACUGGACACAUAUUGACGCUGAGGUGCGAAAGCGUGGGGAGCAAACAGG